rnacentral:rRNA from 1 species
AUUGAACGCUGGCGGCAUGCCUUACACAUGCAAGUCGAACGGUAACGGGCCUUCGGGUGCCGACGAGUGGCGAACGGGUGAGUAAUGCAUCGGAACGUACCUUUCAGUGGGGGAUAACGUAGCGAAAGUUACGCUAAUACCGCAUAUUCUGUGAGCAGGAAAGCAGGGGAUCGCAAGACCUUGCGCUGAUUGAGCGGCCGAUGUCAGAUUAGCUAGUUGGUGAGGUAAAGGCUCACCAAGGCGACGAUCUGUAGCGGGUCUGAGAGGAUGAUCCGCCACACUGGAACUGAGACACGGUCCAGACUCCUACGGGAGGCAGCAGUGGGGAAUUUUGGACAAUGGGCGCAAGCCUGAUCCAGCCAUGCCGCGUGAGUGAAGAAGGCCUCGG